CCUACGGGGGACAGCAGUGAGGAAUAUUGGUCAAUGGGCUUACGCCUGAACCAGCCAAGUCGCGUGAGGGAAGACUGCCCUAUGGGUUGUAAACCUCUUUUGUCAGGGAGCAACGCCGGCUACGUGUAGCCGGACUGAGAGUACCUGAAGAAAAAGCAUCGGCUAACUCCGUGCCAGCAGCCGCGGUAAUACGGAGGAUGCGAGGGUUAUCCGGAUUUAUUGGGUUAAAGGGGUGCGUAGGCGGAAUGCCAAGUCAGCGGUAAAAUCGCGGCGCUCAACCUCGCUCCGCCGUUGAAACUGGCGGUCUUGAGUGGGCGAGAAGUAUGCGGAAUGCGUGGUGUAGCGGUGAAAUGCAUAGAUAUCACGCAGAACUCCGAUUGCGAAGGCAGCAUACCGGCGCCCAACUGACGCUGAAGCACGAAAGCGUGGGUAUCGAACAGGAUUAGAUACCCUGGUAGUC
rnacentral:rRNA from 1 species